rnacentral:rRNA from 1 species
CAGUCGCCGCGGUAAUACGGAGGGAGCUAGCGUUGUUCGGAAUUACUGGGCGUAAAGCGCACGUAGGCGGCUAUUCAAGUCAGAGGUGAAAGCCCGGGGCUCAACCCCGGAACUGCCUUUGAAACUAGAUAGCUUGAAUCCAGGAGAGGUGAGUGGAAUUCCGAGUGUAGAGGUGAAAUUCGUAGAUAUUCGGAAGAACACCAGUGGCGAAGGCGGCUCACUGGACUGGUAUUGACGCUGAGGUGCGAAAGCGUGGGGAGCAAACAGGAUUAGAUACCCCCGUAGUCCCUGUCUCUUAUAC